AGAAGAAGAUAGAGAAAGGACCACGACAAAGUUUCAGUUGAUUUAUCAGGAGAUGCUUAUAUGCAAACACCUAAUAGUAAGAUUCCAGAAACUAUUCCCGGAUCGCUGGUCCUACAGGUUUCAACUCCUCAACCAGAAACUCUUGAGCAUGCUCUCUCAGCAAUAAGUCCACCAGAUUUUGAGCACGAUAAUCUUACAGAUUUUGGACAUG
rnacentral:misc_RNA from 1 species